AAGAUGUACUAUGUACUGAGAGGUCGAAAUUAUCCUCGGUGUACUACCUACAGGCCUAGAACAUACAAGUUAUUUCAUUUCUUAUAAUCUAAUGGGAGAAAUUUACUAACAGAAUUUUUGUUCGUUUGUUUGUCUGUUUUUUUGCCUUUUCUAGGGCCGCUUCCGCAGCAUAUGGAGGUUCCCAGGUUAGAGGUCUAAUCGGAGUUGUAGCUGAUGCAACACGGGAUCCGAGCCUUGUCUGCAACCUACACCACAGCUCACGGCUACGCUGGAUCCUUAACCCACUGGGUGAGGCCAGGAAUCAAACCCACAACCUCAUGGUUCCUAGUCGGAUUCAUUAACCACUGAGCCACGACGGGAACUCUACUAACAGAAUUUCUUUGCUGAUUAUUAGCAUUUAAGCUUUUAAUAAAGUGUUAUACUAACAUUUCUUAUCCAAUGAGUCAUUUUCCCAGGGUUUUAUUUUUAAAAAAAAGAAUGUUUAACUGCUUCUAUUUUUUGAGAUCUAACAAUUUUAUUGGCUUUGAUGUCUAAGGUGAAUUUCCAUAUACGGAUAUUUAAGUCUCUAAAAAUGCUGUUUCCUUUAAAUAUGUCAGGAAACAGCAUUUCCAGGAUAACCAAGCUCACAUGGAAAAUGGGGGGGGGGAAGGAAAUAAAAUAAACUGCCACCAUUAGCAUCUUUAAUGUAAUUUCACACCUUGUAAAUCUGAAGGUUCUUUUGUCUGCCCCACUUAUAUCCACUCUGCAGUGUCUUCACCACAAAGCCUCUUGAUUACUUUUUUUAAAACACAUUUUCCCAAUGUGUCUAAGCCCAUUUAUUUUGCUGAGCCAUUCCUUCUCUGACCCUCGAAAUAAAACAUCAUUAAUGUCUAACCACCCCUUUCUACAGACUGACAGUAUGUACCUUGGAGAGAAAACAAUCUCGUUAGUUCUUCUCCCUCUUUCCCCAAUUAUCCCCACAGUAUGUGGGCAAAUGUCAAAAGGAACCAGAAUCUAGACCAUGUGACAAUUUUGGUCAAAGUAUUGAUUAUGUAUUACACAUUUAUCAGUGCAUCCAAAUCCCUCAACAGUUUCCACAGCGAGAGAAAAACCGAGUAGCGGAGGAAGUCCCCAGAAAAGGUAAGUGAAGAUUCAAAUUUUCAGAGCAAGGGCUCACACACACGCACGUUAAAAAAAGAGGGCGUGACUCACUCUGCAAUAGUCUUCAUACCCCAUAAUGUGACCUGAGUGGAGACCCAGUUUGAUCUUCUGAUUGGUCUUGGGCAGGAUACCUUAUUUGCAUGGGGAACAGGUUAUAUGGUGGCUGGUGAAGAAUGAGCGACAUUUCUUCUCUAGCAGGGAGAGCGCUGCCCAGGCUAGUCAAGGUGAGGGAAGGGGCAUUACAAUGACACACGAACAGAGGCUUUUGGGUUUAAUCUCCUUGAAGGAGACUUGAAGCCCCUAACAGCCAUAUGCAUUCUGAUGGAAAACAAAACAAAAAGUGUUCCCCAUUGAUUUGAUAUUUUGUACAAAUAAUAAUAAAUUAUGACUAACAGUAAUUGUGUGUGCACAAGAGAGUGAGAAUUAGCAAUUAAGUAUUGGAAUAAAAGAAUACAGUAAUUAUUUUUCAUAAUUUGCCAGGAAACUACCAUAAUACAUUUUAAUUACUCAAGGGAAAGAACUUCUGAUAAAUAGUAAGAUUAUCCCCAAACCUGAAUCGUCUAAAAUGGGCGACACCAUUACUUUCCACUACCAUCACUUCUAGCUUAAAUUGUUCUUCCACUUAUGAUACAGAAUUUAAAAUAUAUCCUAAUUUUUUUAAUUCAGCAGAAGCAUAUGGUUAAAAAAAAGCAGCAGAAGCAAAUGUUAAAAUAACAUUUAGCCAGAAAUAUUCCACAUUCGUAUUCAAAGAGAACUUUAACUCUUGCUUCAUAUAUAACAGCCUGAUUCUGAAUUAUUGAAAUUAACUGCAAAAGCAUGCCAGUUUGUUGAGGCCACAAUGUCAAUCUUUUUCUUGUUUAUCAUCUGUUUAGAAUCCAUAUAAAUGGCAAAUUUUAAAGGAGCAAUAGAACAGAAUUACCGCAAAUCACAUAGAGCCUACAAGAAAAACCUAUAAAAUUUUAAAACCUGCUCACAUUUAUCCUUCAUUCCUAAAAUGUCUCACCAAAUAUUUCAUACAAAUUUCGAAGUAUCCCCCAUCUAAAUGGCAAAGAUAAAAGUGCUUAGUAUGCACAGACCUUUUAACAAGCACCAAACACUUCAAAUGCAAUAGUCUCUUCUCUGUUUUGUUUAGAUGGCAAACCUAGCUUUAGAAUCACAUUUAUUUCCUUUGUCACUCAUCAAUUAUGUUAGUAACUUAUCUUACAGAACCUGAACAUUUUGAAUACCUCAUCUGAUUCUCUUGACAAAUUAUUCUUAUAUGCUGGUGUUAUAAACAUAUUCUGAAUGAGAUUUAAUCCCUACAAACAGUUGUGGAUUGGCAUAGAUCACAAAACAUGCACCUUUGUUAAUAAACUUACCUUACUGAGGUUCUACCCUAGCAAACACCUUCAAGAGGUUUUAAAAAAAUACAUGUGUGUAUAUCUACAGGUAGAUAGAUAUACAAAGAUAGAUACAUAAAGAUAUAGAUACAUAAAAUACAUAAAAUAAUGUAUAAAGAUAUAGAUUAAAGAAGAUAUAGAUUAGUAAAAGAUAUAGAUACAUAAAAAUUAAAUACUACAAUAAAAUAAACUAGACAAAUUAUAUAAUUAUGCAAUGUUAAUAUAAUUUGGACAAAUUAUAUAAUUAUACAAUGUUAAUAUAAUUUGGACCUCAAGGCAAACACAGUAAAUACAGUACUUUUCACAAAGUGCCACCAUUUUUAUCUCAAUUGACAGUAAAGUCAAUCACCUCUUUCCUUCAAAUCUGUAAACAAUACGACACCAUCAUUUCCAUGUUUCGUGAAACAUGGAAAAACAGGAGAAAACAUGAAACCUGUAUAAGCUAUAUGGUUGGCCAUCUCAGGGCAGUGCCCAAGUUUACUGGAAAGCAACUAUAUGAAAGGCUAGGAAACAGCUGCCAUACUACAGGCGUAAAUAAAAUAGUUCACGAAAAGAAGGACUGGUUGACACAGUGGGAAAUGGUGCCUGAUGCAUAUGAUAUUCCUUCAGUAAAGGUGGAAUAGAUGGAACGGAACAGAAGUACUUCCCUGUGGUAAGCAGCUUACACGCUUCUUAAAAUACUAGGACAGCAGCUCUUUUACUACAAAUGAUGGAAGGCUGUUACUUUAACAACAACAUGUUACUCUUUAGAAAUACUGAAACAAAUUCUGCUUUUUUUCCACCAAACUUCUAAGUAUGCUCAUGCCAGAACUGAUUAUGUCUAUAGAUGUAAAACACUUAAAGAAAUCAACAAACUGGACAAUGUGCCUAAAUUACAUUUCAUAUUAACCAUUUGAAUCUCCACUGAAGACACAUAGUAAGUACAAGAUGUGAAUUCAGAACAGAUUGCUUUCUUGGAUAUUUGCAUCUCUACUGAAAAAUAAGAACAUAAAUUUCUAUGCAUGUGUUGUAUAUAUACUGAUGCUCCAAAGGACACAUUAAUUAAAUAAUAUAGUUUGCUAUUGGCACAAGUUUUGUACUAUUUUUAAAAUUCCUAAAUGCAUUGUUAUUUCUUAUGAAUAUAUACUUCAAAAUGUAAAUAGUAAAUUUGAAUACAUAAUUUGCAAGUGUUAUUUAUGUUUUUGCAAAACCUCACCAUGCACAAACCCUAGAAGGAAAAAUAUUUUAUGAUUUUACAAAUGUUACAGAAAUACUGGGAAAGUGUCUAUGAUGUAAGCUUUCUUUGAAGAGAGUUCUACCUAUUUUCAAAAUGAACAACUUGCUAUCAGUUCUAAUUUUAUAUAUAUUAAAUAAAGUCAGUAAAAUCCAGAAGAAAAUAAUAAAGGCACAUUUUAUUUCCUUUUAUAAGCUGUAAUAAGCUUAGAUUCUUGUGCCUUUCCAAAAAUGUUUUUUCAGACUAAACCCAUUUUAGUCUGCCUUACACUCAUUCUAAUGCCAGUGCAAACAGCUACUUAUAUCCAUAUAUGUGGAUCACCCCCACAAGGGGAGAGCAUGAACAGUCCACAUAUGUGGAUAUUAGACAUUAAUAAAUUAAACAUUAUAAUAUCAUGUUACUACUCCUCUGGAAAAAAAUAUAUCUACUAUUGCCUAUUUUAAACAUACACUGUGGAAUAAAUACUGUCAUGUGGUUAAGCUGAUGAAAACAUAUCAAAGAUUUGAGAAGGGGGUUUAUUAAUGUUCACUGCUUUUAUCAUAAGGCACAUUUCCUUCUAUAUGUAGUAAAUGCACAGAAAUUGCUAAGACCAAAUGGGAAUAGUAUCACUUCUAUCACACGAAAAAGAUAGUCACUCUUAUGUUACAACAUAGAGAAAUUUAUUUUCUAUAGCCGUUAAAUAUAAAUAUGUCUAAUAGAUAAAAGAUUUAUAUCCUAAGUAGUUAAAACACAAAGUACUACUAUUUUAUGAGAUGUUAUAUUUAUUUCCUGUAGAUACCUGUAAUUCUUACCAAUAUAUUUACUUCAUUACAUAGUUUAUAUUCAAAACCCUACCUAUCAUUGGGCUCUCAGUCAAUUAUUCUAGACUGACUAGCAUUUUAAUAAUGACUGAGAUAAAAGUUUAACAUGAACUAUAGUUAUAACUAUGUGUUCUUUUAAAAAACUUGAUUUGUAAAUAAAUUCUAAAAUUAGGACUGACAGCUUUAAAUUAACAUUACAAUACUGGCUACCAUACAUAUUAUCCUGAGUUUUAAAAUAGAAGUGUUUUCACAUAUGUGCCAAGAAAUUAUUUCUAGAACAAGGGAGAACUCCCUUUUAGAAAACUACAUUUUAAACUAUCAAUAUAACAUGUGCAUACUCUAGCAUGAAAAUGAGAUUUUUUUCCCGUUUAUAUACAAACAAAUACGCCAUAGGUGGCUGCUACCAUAUGGCAUAUUUAUGUUUCACACCUUAUUGAAACAAGCAUUUCCAAAAGAAAAACCUAAUCUAGCAAAAAAAUUCUACCCAAAUUCCUUUCUUUGUCUGAAAAAAAAAAAAGUUAUUUUAGUGUUAACUCCUACAACAGUUUAACUAUUUUAGUUCAGAAUAUAAUAUAUGAGUACCUAUGUUAAACUGGAGAAAAAUUUUUUAAAUAUUUAGAAUAGAUUAUUUAUGUUUUAUUACAGUACUUAAGCCCUAAAUGUUACUGUAAAUACUCUUAAAAAAUAAACAAACAAAAAACUUUGCAUUACUAAUUCUAAUUCAGGUACCAUUCCAAUGAGAGCUGGCAGAAACAGAAUUUUAUACUGUGCUGGCAUAUUCUUCCUCUUCUGAUAAUUAAACCUGUAUCCAUUUUUCCAGGAAAAAUAAAAAUAUCAAAAAAAUCAAAAUAAUUUACUAAUGAUGUCCAGAGAAAUGCUUAAAGAGAAGCACAAUAAUUCACCUUUAGUGACAAUACAAUCUUUGUACCGAGUUUUUUAAUGAACUUACAAUUUCUCCCAAAGAUUUGAGAUUUAUCUGUGAUAAAUUCUCCAUAUGAACUCAAAUGGCACCACAUCUUGAUAAAAUUAACACUUUUUUUCAUUUCAAAAAGCUUAUUCAUAAAUUUAACAUGAAGUAGUACAUCAACUAUCAUAUCUCCUCUCCUCAGAGAUGAGGUUACUAACUUCUCAAAUAAAAUACUAAAAAUGCAGUAGUCUUACAACAAUAUUGCUAACAUUUCCUACAAGAGACUAACUUAGCUCUACAAAAUAUUUUUUUAAGCUUUUACAAAAUAAUACUUCAUAUUAUUUGCAAAUAUCUUAAAUUUUCAUUGGUAAAAAAUUUCCAAUCUUUUCAAAGAGAAGAAAUUGUGGCUUCCUAAUUCCUAUUUUCACCCAGUAUUUACUUUCUUUCUUGUCUUUAGCAAAUUUCUGACCAUGAAAAUUGAGCUAUUUUAAAUUUAGGAAAGCAUUUAUUGCAGAUGUCCUUCUUACAACUAGGAUUUUUACAUUAAUAAUUUACCAUGGUCUGUUCAGGAAUAAAAGGUUGUAUUUUGUUGUAUCUUUAAAAAGUCAUAGUUAUUCCCAAUGGUGUGAUGAUGUGUUCCCUCCAAAUGAUAGAAAUAUUGAUAAAUCGUCAGUUAAAAAAAAUUUAAUGUGUAAACUGAACACACUGACUCCUUUUUAACGAGCCACUUCUUUGACACAAAAUGCAAGCAACUCAUUGAGUUCUUGCUUUACAGGCCAAGCUACAAAAAGAUGUGAAAAAUAAAUAAAAGUGUAAUUUCCUAAUUAGAGUGAAUAAUUUUGAGGCAUCUUUAGUGUAAUUCUUACUCUUUCCAUGUUUCAAAAUAUCUGCUUAGAACAUCCUGCCAAUUAAAGAAAGAUCUACAGAUGGCAUUUACCCUUUUGCUUCAUAACAAAAAUGAUCUGCAAUCUUUUUAUGGAAGAUUAUCUAAAAAAGGAACAUGCCUGUAAAUCAAUGACAAAAAAUAUGAGACACUCCCCUUCUCAGGGUUAGAACUUGCACCCUUCAGAUUCUUGGACUGACACCCAAUGUAGUAAGUACUAAGCUGAUCUUAAAUAAUAGCUGCGGGGUUUCAACUGGUAAAGAUGUAAGGUUAGUACCACCCAAAAUUCCAGCAUUCAGCACUCAGCCAACAAAGGACAGCAAAUAAUUCCCAAAAGCAAAAAUACGGGAAUGCUACCUUGGGCUUUGUUUUUGUUAUGUAAAAUGCAUUAAAGUGACUCACCCAUUUACAAUUACCUACUCUUAAAAGCUUUAAAGUAGCUUCAAGAAUCAAAAUACAUGCUUUCCCAGAAUGCCUGAUAGACUAGUCAGCGCAUUUAAAAAAUAUAUGUACAUAUAUAUUUUAUGUGCCACUGAUUCUUUUCCCAGCCUAGAAGAGAAUUAUUAUUUUUCAUUCCCUUCCUGCCAUGUGACUCUUUAGCUACCUUUAAACACUCUAUUUUCAGAACAGCAGUGAGGUUUUUUCUCUUUUUUUAAAGCUAUUUUAGAAAUGUUAAAAAUAAGAGAAAAUUGCAGGAGACUCUAGAAAUGCUCAGUCCCUCCCCCAAAGAAUUGGUUCUAUUCAUUCUAAGAACAGGACCCGCGUGUCUGUUGGCACUUAGAUGUUUCAAAGAGAGGGUGAAGGAAGUUGGAUGGCAGGGUCCCAGCACCUGCGAGCCCCUGGGGUGGACAGCAUCUCUGUCGAGGAGCAAGCACGCUUCUGAUCAGAAAGGCUGUCAAGCACGCCCAGUAAUUUGGGAUCCAAAGGAGUUUGGAUACCAUAGCAAUUAGAGAGCAAGCCAGAGGCCAAGUGCAGAAGUCCACGCUCCCUUGGCAAGGCUGCAAUUACCUAUUUGCAAAAUACCCAAUCAAAACACAACUUUUUAUUGGACUGGGUUUGAUAAGAGUGGGUAUGUGGCUGGAAACUUUUUCCCACAGUACAGCUAAACUCUUUAACCAAGAAAUCCUUUUAGAAAUGGGCUGAGGAGCCUUGAGGCGUCGGUAGAUAUUUUCCUGGACAACCUGGCCCAGCCGAGGCUCCCCAAGACGCCCAGUUCCGUGCGCAUUCCAGCGGCGAACCAGGCGCACCUCCCGCUUGGCCUCUGGGAUCCAAGCCUAACUCACUCCCCACCCCCACGAGCAGAAAAGCCCCAAAACUCCAGAAACGAACCCGCACCCUGCUUCCACAGCACCCCUCAGCCAGCACUCCCCGCCCUGCCUGGUUCGGGGCCGGCGACUUACGUGACGGCCGACGGGAACGGCUCCUGCGAUGAGGGACCGAUCAGCAAAGAUUGGAAAAGUGUCAGAGUCAAGGCCAGCAGGCAGCCAGCAGCCAUCUUCGCGAUCGAAGAUCAAUCUAGCCUCCCUCCCCAGCCAGGGGAAGAACCAGUGCUAGAAACCGCCGAAGGAGGAGAAGGAGCACGGUCCGCCCGGACCACAGACGUCUGAGGGCUGGCACGCCUGGGCCGGAGCCGGCAGCCGGGAGCCUGGGCGCGGGCUCACGUGGAGGGGAGGAGGGGGAGAAGCAGGGGCCAAGCCCCGCGCAGGGGAAGGGAUGGUGGCGGGCGGACCCGCUAGCGUGCGUCGGCUGUUCCCCACCGCGGCUGCCUGGCCUCCGCCGCCAUCAAGGGCGACUUUGGAAACAGACCUGGGCGAGCCCGCCAGCGCUCGCGCGCUCU
rnacentral:lncRNA from 1 species